UACGGGGGGAGCUAGCGUUGUUCGGAAUUACUGGGCGUAAAGCGCGCGUAGGCGGUAUACUAAGUCAGGGGUGAAAUCCCGGGGCUCAACCCCGGAACUGCCCUUGAAACUGGUAAACUAGAAUCCUGGAGAGGCGAGUGGAAUUCCGAGUGUAGAGGUGAAAUGCGUAGAUAUUCGGAGGAACACCAGUGGCGAAGGCGGCUCACUGGCUCGGUACUGACGCUGAGGUGCGAAAGCGUGGGGAGCAAACAGG
rnacentral:rRNA from 1 species